CCUACGGGAGGCAGCAGUGAGGAAUAUUGGUCAAUGGACGAGAGUCUGAACCAGCCAAGUAGCGUGAAGGAUGACUGCCCUAUGGGUUGUAAACUUCUUUUAUAAAGGAAUAAAACGAGGCACGUGUGCCUUUUUGCAUGUACUUUAUGAAUAAGGAUCGGCUAACUCCGUGCCAGCAGCCGCGGUAAUACGGAGGAUCCGAGCGUUAUCCGGAUCUGUUGGGUUUAAAGGGAGCGUAGAUGGGUUGUUAAGUCAGUUGUGAAAGUUUGCGGCUCAACCGUAAAAUUGCAAUUGAUACUGGCAGUCGUGAGUACAGUUGAGGUAGGCGGAAUUCGUGGUGUAGCGGUGAAAUGCUUAGAUAUCACGAAGAACCCCGAUUGCGAAGGCAGCUUACUAAACUGUGACUGACAUUGAUGCUCGAAAGUGUGGGUAUCAAACAGGAUUAGAUACCCCAGUAGUC
rnacentral:rRNA from 1 species